AUAAACCCACAACACAGUGCUGUGUCAUUAUUAGACCAGGUGAUGGGAAAGAGAGAGAUGGAGGGGAGGUGGGGGUAAAAUGGGGUACUAUAAACCCACAACACAGUGCUGUGUCAUUAUUAGACCAGGUGAUGGGAUAGAGAGAGAUGGAGGGGAGUAGUUGUGUGUGGAUGAUGCGUAGUCGGCAGUGUGCUAAACAGUGAGGACGUUGAUGUGUGGAUUAGAUCAUGAUGGUUGUGAUUGUCAUCGUUUAUCACUCAAAGCCAAAGGUUCAGAUGUUCCCGGGGUUUUCCAUCUGUGUGUGCAGUCAGAUUUUUACAGAGAAUAACUUAUUAUGGUUAGAGGACAGAGAGUCUGCUUCCCAAACGGACCCCUAUUCCCUAUAUAGUGCACUACUUUGAACAGGGCCCUAUGGCACCCUACUCCCUAUAUAUAGUGCACUGCUUUGGACAGGGCCCUAUGGCACACUAUUCCCUAUAUAGGGCCCUAUAUGCCUCUGGUCAAAGUUGUGCACCAUAUAGGGAAUAGGGUGCUAUAGGGCCCUGUUCAACGUAGUGCACUAUAUAGGCAAUUAGGCUCGGGUCUAGAGUAGUGCACUAUAUAGGGGACAGGGUGCCGUAGGCCCAUGUUCAAAGUAGUGCACUAUAUAGGGAAUAGGGUGCCAUAGGGCCCUGUUCAAAGUAGUGCACUAUGUAGGGAAUAGGGUGCCAUAGGGCCCUGUUCAAAGUAGUGCACUAUGUAGGGAAUAGGGUGCCAUAGGGCCCUGUUCAAAGUAGUGCACUAUAUAGGGAAUAUGGUGCCAUAGGGCCCUGUUCAAAGUAGUGCACUAUAUAGCGAAUAGGGUGCCAUUUGGGAGGCAUGCGGUCUUUUUCUCCAUGGAGGGUUUACUGUUGAAACCAUCAUCUAGUCCCUUUAGUCAAAACCCUUUAUAUAGAUAUAGGUUAUCCCAUAGUAAUAAUAAUGAUACUGGUACAGAUGUUGUUUUUAUAGAAAUUACAGUAUAUCUAUUGAUAUAGUUGCUGACUUUUAUAUUAUGGGAGAGAUUUAAAAAAUAUAAAAAAAUGUCUAUAUUUACCUUUUGUGUUUCGUUUGUUUUUUUCUCUCCAGAAAUUAUACGACUAUGAUUAUUUGUACCCGAUGAAAACUGAACAAACAAACAAAUAUAUAUAUAUAUAUAUAUACCAACAAUGUAUUAAUGGAGACGUUUGAGCUGUGCAACGAAGGUGUUCUCUUCAAACACAAAAUACACAACUGUAAUGUUUUAGUUGUAGGCUACAACACCAACGGUUUGGGGAAAAGCUUUUCUCGUUGUCUUUAUGGAGUCGUCAUAUCCAGAUGGAUCAUCUACAAGUAAUGCAAUCAUAAUGUACAUACUAUCAUGGUAUUUUUAUGGUCAGCUGUACUAUUUUGCCGACAGACACACACAGCCUGUACACGGUCUUCACUACUACUAGGCUGUGAAAGAUGUCAGUGUCCUGUACGCUGUUGAUGUUUGUUAGUUAGGCUCUUUUUGUUUUUGUUUACAUUGACUUGUCUUUCAUUUGGGUUUUGAUAUAAUUUGUAAUGUGACCUCCUUUGUAAUGUUAUUUUCUAGAACUCAGCCUUUACACUUUGAAAAAAAAACUGUUUGAUUAAUUAGAAAUAUAUAUGACUUGUGAAAAAAAAAAGAUGACGUUUAUGUAAAUAUGAAAAAUUAAGCUGUUGUUGAUUUAAAGUGCUCCAGGGGCGGCGAGAGGAAACGCCCAGCUCACCUCACGUAGCUAAAUACUUCCUUACACCCCUCUUUUCUUCCUGAUAUCCUCCCUCCCUCCUUUCCUCCCUCCCUCCCUCCCUCCUUUCCUCCCUCCCUCCCUCCUUUCCUCCCUACUUUCCUCCCUCCUUUCCCCCCCCCCUCCCUCCUUUCCUCCCUCCUUUCCUCCCUCCUUUCCUCCCUCCUUUCCUCCCUCCUUUCCUCCUCCCUCCCCUCCCCCUCCCCCUUUCCUCCCUCCUUUCCUCCCCCUCCCUCCUUUCCUCCCCUCCUUUCCUCCCCCCUCCCCCCCCAUCCCUCCCUCCCUCCUCCCUGCCUCCUUUCCUCCCUCCUUUCCUCCCUCCUUUCCUCCCUCCUUCCUCUCUCCUUUCCUCCCUCCUUUCUUCCUACACCUUGUUUACAAAUUAACCUGAUCAGAGGUGUUUGUUACAUAUCUCCGUUUUGUAUUUAUACGAAGAAGAAAAAAUAUUCAGAAAUGCAACCCAUGAAAAAGGCAGUGGCAUCUGCAGGUUGUGGGAUUUAGCCCCAUCCUGCAGGUUCUGGGGUUAAGUCCCAUUCUGUCUGCAGGUUGUGGGGUUUAGCACCAUCCUGCAGGUUCUGGGGUUAAGUCCCAUUCUGUCUGCAGGUUGUGGGGUUUAGCACCAUCCUGCAGGUUCUGGGGUUAAGUCCCAUUCUGUCUGCAGGUUGUGGGAUUUAGCACCAUCCUGCAGGUUCUGGGGGUUAAGUCCCAUCCUGUAGGCAGGUUGUGGGGUUUAGCACCAUCCUGCAGGUUCUGGGGGUUAAGACCCUGCCCUGUGUUUGCUGAACCAUUAGUGGGCAUGGCAACACGUAUCCUGGCUACACCACCGCGUGUCUCUGUCCCUACCCUCUACAUCCUCUGCUUCCAUAGGUGUUGUGAUGAGAUACCCCCUCCCCUGUCCUUGUAUGUGCAUGCACUAUGGUUCUUCCACUUAACAAUAACAAUCAAUAAAGUUUGUCAAGAUAA
ensembl:lncRNA